UGGGGAAUAUUGCACAAUGGGGGAAACCCUGAUGCAGCGACGCCGCGUGAGCGAAGAAGGUUUUCGAAUCGUAAAGCUCUGUCCUAUGGGAAGAUAAUGACGGUACCAUAGGAGGAAGCCCCGGCUAACUACGUGCCAGCAGCCGCGGUAAUACGUAGGGGGCAAGCGUUGUCCGGAAUCACUGGGCGUAAAGGGUUCGCAGGCGGAAAUGCAAGUCAGUUGUGAAAGGCAGAGGCUCAACCUCUGUAAGCAAUUGAAACUGUAUUUCUUGAGAUGUUGAGAGGCAAGUGGAAUUCCUAGUGUAGCGGUGAAAUGCGUAGAUAUUAGGAAGAAUACCGGUGGCGAAUGCGACUUGCUGGACACAAACUGACGCUGAGGAACGAAAGCGUGGGUAGCAAACAGG
rnacentral:rRNA from 1 species